CAGAGAUAGUGCUUCAAAAUAAAAGGGGUCUAGACUUGAUCUUCCUACAACAGGGAGGACUCUGCGCCACCCUGGGGGAAGAAUGUUGUUUCUACAUAGAUCAUUCAGGUGUAGUCAAAGAAUCCAUGACAAAAAUCAGAGAGGGCUUGGCUAAACGAAAACAUGAAAGUGAACAAGCCCAAGGAUGGUUCGAGUCCUUGUUUAACUCUUCCCCAUGGUUAACCACCCUGAUCUCCACACUGUUAGGUCCCCUGCUCAUUUUACUGCUUCUCUUAACUUUUGGACCUUGCAUACUUAACAGGUUGAUCUCAUUCAUUAGGGAACGUGUCAGUACUGUACAGCUGAUGGUACUUAGGUCCCAGUAUAGGCCCGUUCCAGGCGAUCCAAUAGAAUUAACUCCUCGAGACCCAUGAUUGGGCCUCUAUAGCCUCAUAAGAAGCGGGGAAUGAGAGGCCUGAGCAACUCCAUUUUGAAAAAGAGACUCCAUCUCAGAGCAGAUGGCCUGGGCAUAAACUCCAGCCCCAAGAGAAAGCCACAAGAUGUGCUUUGGCCACCUGCCCCUAACGGUAUUUAGUAACCACCCAUAGUAACAGCCAAUCAGCGAAUCUUGGGAAAUCACCCUAGGUCCCAAGAUGUUCCCUUUGAGUGCUUAACCAACCUUUUGGGGUUUGGCCCAUAAAGGACAUCCAAUCAGGUUUGAACACCAGUUGCCUGCUAAAUGCCAACCAAUCAUAAAACUGCCAAGCUGGAAUUCCCCGAACCCUGCUGUAACCACAAUAAAAACCCAGCUGAUAUGAAAUUCGGGGCUCUCAAUCCAGAUCCUCUGCGUCGGUGACGGUUGUGAGCCCCUGCUCGAGCUUGAAUAAACGACCCUCGUGUGUUAGCAUCGGAAUCUGCUCCUUGGUGGUCUUUGGGGACUUCGCGAUCUGGGCAUAACAAGGGAACCAACUGCAGAGAGGAGCUCAGCAGAGUGGGAUCUAGAUACAAACAAAAGGAUUUGUCCUAGACACCCAAGAACAAGCCAGAACGAAGCUCUUUCCCGCCAAACGAAGACCAGGAAAUCAACAGCGCCUGCCCAGGCUCCGGGGGGCAAGAGUCGGGAGAAGGAUAGGGCGUGGCAAAAAGAAGUAACAUGGAGGGAAGGAAGGAAAAACCAGACUUUCUUCAUGAGAGCCUUGGAGGUGCAAUGCUUGUUACCCUCCUGCAGUGUGGUGCCUUCUCCAAGCCCUGGAUGGAAGAGGAAAGAGUUGGAAGUUGGGAGCCUCCUGAAAAGCUGCCUAUGAAGUGGUAAAAGCUGAAGAAACUGGUACCCUGACUGGAGUAGAUGGCCAAUGACCAGAAUUGAAUCACCUGGCAUCUGGCUUUUCUUGAUAUUAGUUCCGGAUUUAUGUGAAAGGGUCCUUUAACGUCUCCAAGAAUGGUUCCAAUAGAGUUGGCGGAGAUAACAGAUGUGUAUCACUUUGGUAGAGAUGCUCUUUAAAAGAAGAAAGCCAGCCAUAUUUGCUUAGGUCUAGGACCCCUCCUUGGUGGUUGAUGAAGGAGGGAGGAAGGUACAACCCCAAGCCGAAUAGGCCCCCCAUAGUUUCCUAGUAAUGCAGUAAACAAAUCUAUGAUGCUUGUUGAAUAAUCUUCCAAUAAUUGCAGUCAUUAAAAUCAUCACACAGUC